AACGAACGAUGGCGGCAUGCCUAAAACCUGCAAGUAGAACGAGACCUUCGGGUCUAGUGGCGCACGGGUGCGUAACGCGUGGGAACCUGCCCUUUGGUUCGGAAUAAUUCCCCGGAAGGGGUGCUAAUACCGGAUAACGUGUUCGGAACCAAGAGUUAUCGCCUUUGGAUGGGCCCGCGUUGGUUUAGCAAGUUGGUAGGGUAAAAGCCUACCAAGGCGACGAUCGAUAGGUGGUCUGAGAGGGUGGUCGGCCACACUGGGACUGAGACACGGCCCAGACUCCUACGGGAGGCAGCAGUGGGGAAUAUUGGAGAAUGGGCGAAAGCCUGAGCCAGCAAUGCCGCGUGAGUGAUGAAGGCCUUAGGGUUGUAAAGCUCUUGUACCCGGGAUGAUAAGGACAGUACCGGGAGAAAAGGCCCCGGCUGACUCCGUG
rnacentral:rRNA from 1 species